AGCGAACGCUGGCGGCAGGCCUAACACAUGCAAGUCGAACGAACCUUUCGGGGUUAGUGGCGGACGGGUGAGUAACACGUGGGAACGUGCCUUUAGGUUCGGAAUAACUCAGGGAAACUUGUGCUAAUACCGAAUGUGCCCUUCGGGGGAAAGAUUUAUCGCCUUUAGAGCGGCCCGCGUCUGAUUAGCUAGUUGGUUGAGGUAAUGGCUCACCAAGGCGACGAUCAGUAGCUGGUCUGAGAGGAUGAUCAGCCACAUUGGGACUGAGACACGGCCCAAAAUCCUACGGGAGGCAGCAGUGGGGAAUCUUGCGAAAUGGGCGAAAGCAUGACGCAGCCAUGCCGCGUGAAUGAUGAAGGUCUUAGGAUUGUAAAAUUCUUUCACCGGGGACGAUAAUGACGGUACCCGGAGAAGAAGCCCCGGCUAACUUCGUG
rnacentral:rRNA from 1 species